UCCAACGGAAAAUUCGUUCCGUUUUGCUACUGGUAAUAUCUACUAGUAUGACGGAACGAAGUUUCCGUUCAUCCCACUGGAGAAGGACGGAGGACGCCAGUUGCAACUUGCAUGCCUUUGUGCAUAAGUUAAGGAAAAGUGUAUUACAUACUUUUAACUGUAGAAACUUAAUGUAGAUAAAGACGAGUUAACGUGACGGACUGAUUUGUGCAUUCUACUCGGGUGUAGGAUUGUUUGUGGCGUCACUGUUGUGCGGUGCUCGGUUUGUGUAUAAAUUAGUAUUGUUCGUAAGACGGUGACAAUGGUGUAGGAAGAAAACAAGAUGGAGGUGGAUGUUCAUCUGGUUGCAUUCGAGUGGUAGUCGAGUGGGUUCCGCACCUGUUACCUUUUUCAGAAGUGAACAGUGUUCCUUAACGCGUGUGCAAGUAAGAGUAUAUGCAACGUGCUGACUUAAUCCGGAGCCAUGGGGUAGACCAAUCUUGGCUAUACAAUGGCGGCCACCCGGCUUCCGCUCUAGUUAGUCCGUAGAGAGCGUAACUAGAAUGACAGGCUCUCGGUUUUACGUACGUACGUUGUCGUCGUAUAUAUUUCUAUACUUGUUAGCCACGUUAUGCGCGAGAAAUGCAGAUGCUGUCAGUGUAUAAAAAUCGUCAUGACUGAACCUUCGAAGAAAACCUUUGCCAACGAGUCAACUACGAUAAUUGGGAAUUCGAAACGCGGUCUCAGCCACGCACUCUAUUAGAGCACCUUGUUUGCUGUAACGUAUUGUCAGGCAAGACUUGGUCGUCGGCAUCCCCUGGAGGUUCUACGCUUUACGUACUACGUUCAGCCUUCUACGUCGUCUACAAGAUUCGUACGGGAUGUGGAAUGUUUAAAUCCUAAAUACAUUUUCAUCGUGUGAAACGUCCUUAAAGUGGUGCUCGGACAUGAGGAGGCCCAGGGUGUUGAUUCUCAAUUCCAUGGAUCGAGGAAAAAAAUCGGUAGCCAACCGAACACGAACGUUACGUCAGUGAAACGUUCUCUCGGGGUCGAUGAUCACGACUGUGCAUGCUGCGGACAUCGGACCACAUCGUGAUCCAACCUGGACCCAACACGCUCGUGGAAUCUCUGGACAAAUAGGCGAAUAUGCGCAUAAACAUUAUAUGACGUACACUGCAUCUUCGGUAUCCUGAAAUGGGAGCAAUAAUAAUUGGGAUAAAAAAUAUACAAGGUAAUGACGUUCCGAUAAGGGUAUCGAUAUUCGAUAAGCCAUCAGGACAGGCCGGAACCGCAAUUGACAUACCAAUAAGAUGAUGAAUACAAUAAUCUGUCCUGUAUUAUGCUUGAGAAAUUACAAGCUAGCAAUAUGCCGAUCGUAUCGAUGCACUCGCCAAUGAUUUAAAGUGCUUAAAUGGCAGGCGUCCUCUUAAACGGCUAUUGCCGAAGCCAAAUAAGAAAAUUGCCUUGCGCGAUAAUUGGAUCAACUGCCUACCGGCCGUUUCAUUAUAUCCCAUUAGAGGCUUCUAAGGAGUUUUUCAAGAAAUCAGUGGAAAUUCAAUUUCAACGUAUUUUCUAAGUAAAUCUGUCACCGAAUGGCGUUGCACGUAAUGGCAGAUACAUUGCGGAGUCGUCGGCGUUGGAUUUCUCGAAAUUUGAGGGGAAACAAAAAAUGGGAAAAUCGCUGAUGUAUGAUGGUCACGUUUGUAAUUAAUUGAACGAGGCACAACCCUCCUUUCUGUUACGCUUUGCCAUGUACGCGGCGCAUGCGAAAAAUUAAUUCCGUUCAGGAUUUGCAUAUACGUCCUGUUAGCGAUACGUGCGUACAUUCUACGAACGCAUUGUGCGUCUACGCGCCACUCUACAUAAAGUACUAAAUUGCGUGAGAUGCGUUCGGCAAAUGGGGGGCCGCCAGAAUCAUUCGUUAUCCAGGCAGUUUCCCAGAAACUAGAAACCCCGUAAAUCCGUACAGUUACCCUAUUAACUCUCGAAUGUGACUGUUUGCUUGUCAGCUUUACGACUGCUGGGGACGGAG